GUAGUGGACAGAAGGGAUUUCUGAAAA
rnacentral:piRNA from 2 species